CAUGAACGUUCUGAGUGAAUGCUGGUUGUUCUAUAACGUACACAAGCCUUUGUGCUUUCUACGGGGUGUCCUGACCAGUUUUAACAUGACACAACUUAGAGUCGUCCAAGAGAAGAGCUUCAAUGGAGGAGUUGCCUAGAUCAGACAGGUUGGUGGGGAAUAUGUUGACUAUUACUUGAUGUAAGAAAGCCCAGCCCAUGGUGGGUGGUACCCUCCUUAGGAAGAUGGUCAGGGUUAGGGUCAGAGUACAUGACAGGUGCCCACAAGCCAACCAGCAGGCAGCACUCCCUACAGCCCCUGAUGCACUUCGUGGAUGGGAAGGGAUUUAAUGCUGUGUGGAAUGGCCCGUAGACCUGCCUUCGAGUUCCUGCCUUGAUGCCUUCAGCGAUGCACUGUGACUUGGAGUUGUAAGUAAACCUGAAUUGCUUAUGGUCGGGCAGUUUUAUCACAGCAACAAAAAUGAAAUGUGAACAGAGGGCGAAACUUGAGAAAUUCAACUGCCCUGAAAAGACCUCACGUGUCCCCUCCGUCUUUGCUUCUGAGACAAUGAAAUUGAAACAGCCUCAGAGACCAUGUAAAAGGAAGAUCAAGCAAGGGGCAAAAACAUUAUCCUGUUAUCCAGACCGAGAUCUUUUUGCAUUGAGAUCUGCCAAGUGCUUCUAGUCAAACUUCAAGCUCUGAAGCUUUCACUUAGGCUACGCCAAAUCGGGAGAAAUAGGAAGGUGGGAGAAAGGACUGCUCUGGACGAAUCAAAACAACACGUAAGCAAAGUCCUUCAGUGGAAGAGAAGGAAACAGGGAGUGGGCUUUUGCAAAUUUACCAGUGACUCUGACCUGUGAGACCUGGUUGUGAUUGGAACUUGGGUGGACUGCGAGGACUCUUAAGAGGUUGCUGAGGAAAGCUCUGCAUAUAUAGCUGUAAAUAAGACCUGUCCUGAUUGGACAGCACCAUCCUCUGAGCUGGAAGUUUGGACAAAAAAAAAAAAAAAAAAAAGGAAAAGGAACAAGCAAGCCCUGAGUGAAGUCAGUGUCCCCUCCCUCUCUCUUCCUACCCAUUCCCACCACCAUGAUGUUCUGUCCAAACACAUGUGGCCCAGUUACCAGGGACUGGACCCCUGAAAGCAUGAGUCAAAAUAAAUUCUCUCUCCUCUAUUUUAAGUUGUUUAUGUCACAGUGAGGAGCCAGAUUAUACACACACUCCCUAACUUGAAAAUUGCUUUCAUAGUCUUGGACCCCACUCCCCCCGCAUCCUCCCCCACCCCCCUGCAGCAAAGCAGUUUCUCUUUUCUCCUCGGCAGGUGCUUAUGAUGCUUAACUCUCACCUCACGAGAAACCUAACCUCUCUGGAGUAAACCAGAAGCACAAGGACUCGCCAGUUAAUUGAAAAACAAGUCUGAGAUGCUUACUUACCCCUGCUAACCUCUCACAUGUACGAAUCAUCCCAUUCUAAAGCCAGCAACUUCAGGGGAUGGCACCGUAUUGACAAUAUCGCUAGACGUAUGGCUUGGCUUUGGAAUAAAAUAUUUAUAAUCCCUCUCUGGGGGAAGUGGGCUUAGCAGAAUGAAUCCACGGGCUCCGGCUCUCCUGAGGUAUUUUUCUCAUUCUCCCUGGCACGGAUAAAAUCUAAACUGUACUUAAGAAACGGUGUUAAAUGUGUUAGUUGACUGAAUCUGGCAUUUAUAAUGCAAUUUAGCAAAGUUUUAUAUUGACAGCAUGACAUUUUUAAAGGGCCCUUUCUGAUUAACAAGGUUCAGAAUCACUCCCCUGAUUAUGCUCAGGGAGGAGUAUAAAAUGCUACAGGCUCUGAGAGCAAUGAAUCGGGGCUCUGUUAGCAUUAGACGCAUUUUGCUUUCGUAGUGACCAUUUCCAGGGAGGAUCGGGGUGCGACUGCAUGUUUUC
rnacentral:lncRNA from 1 species